rnacentral:rRNA from 1 species
CCCUUAGAUGUUCUGGGCCGCACGCGCGCUACACUGACCAGUGCAACAAGCAUCCGUCCUUGGCCGACAGGCCCGGGCAAUCUUUGAACGCUGGUCGUGAUGGGGAUAGACUUUUGCAAUUUUUGGUCUUCAACGAGGAAUUCCUAGUAAACGCAAGUCAUCAACUUGCAUUGAUUACGUCCCUGCCCUUUGUACACACCGCCCGUCGCACCUACCGAUUGAAUGGUCCGGUGAAGCCUCCGGAUUGGCGCGCACCUCGGUGCCGCCGAGAAGUUGGCUAAACCUUACCAUUUAGAGGAAAGUGAAGUCGUAACA